UACGUAGGGGGCAAGCGUUAUCCGGAUUUACUGGGUGUAAAGGGAGCGUAGACGGAAUUGCAAGUCUGAUGUGAAAAUCCGGGGCCCAACCCCGGAACUGCAUUGGAGACUGUAUUUCUAGAGUGUCGGAGAGGCAAGUGGAAUUCCUGGUGUAGCGGUGAAAUGCGUAGAUAUCGGGAGGAACACCAGUGGCGAAGGCGGCUUGCUGGACGAUGACUGACGUUGAGGCUCGAAAGCGUGGGGAGCAAACAGG
rnacentral:rRNA from 1 species